GGUUAAGCGACUAAGCGUACACGGUGGAUGCCCUGGCAGUCAGAGGCGAUGAAGGACGUGCUAAUCUGCGAUAAGCGUCGGUAAGGUGAUAUGAACCGUUAUAACCGGCGAUUUCCGAAUGGGGAAACCCAGUGUGUUUCGACACACUAUCAUUAACUGAAUCCAUAGGUUAAUGAGGCGAACCGGGGGAACUGAAACAUCUAAGUACCCCGAGGAAAAGAAAUCAACCGAGAUUCCCCCAGUAGCGGCGAGCGAACGGGGAGCAGCCCAGAGCCUGAAUCAGUGUGUGUGUUAGUGGAAGCGUCUGGAAAGGCGCGCGAUACAGGGUGACAGCCCCGUACACAAAAAUGCACAUGCUGUGAGCUCGAUGAGUAGGGCGGGACACGUGGUAUCCUGUCUGAAUAUGGGGGGACCAUCCUCCAAGGCUAAAUACUCCUGACUGACCGAUAGUGAACCAGUACCGUGAGGGAAAGGCGAAAAGAACCCCGGCGAGGGGAGUGAAAAAGAACCUGAAACCGUGUACGUACAAGCAGUGGGAGCACGCUUAGGCGUGUGACUGCGUACCUUUUGUAUAAUGGGUCAGCGACUUAUAUUCUGUAGCAAGGUUAACCGAAUAGGGGAGCCGAAGGGAAACCGAGUCUUAACUGGGCGUUAAGUUGCAGGGUAUAGACCCGAAACCCGGUGAUCUAGCCAUGGGCAGGUUGAAGGUUGGGUAACACUAACUGGAGGACCGAACCGACUAAUGUUGAAAAAUUAGCGGAUGACUUGUGGCUGGGGGUGAAAGGCCAAUCAAACCGGGAGAUAGCUGGUUCUCCCCGAAAGCUAUUUAGGUAGCGCCUCGUGAAUUCAUCUCCGGGGGUAGAGCACUGUUUCGGCAAGGGGGUCAUCCCGACUUACCAACCCGAUGCAAACUGCGAAUACCGGAGAAUGUUAUCACGGGAGACACACGGCGGGUGCUAACGUCCGUCGUGAAGAGGGAAACAACCCAGACCGCCAGCUAAGGUCCCAAAGUCAUGGUUAAGUGGGAAACGAUGUGGGAAGGCCCAGACAGCCAGGAUGUUGGCUUAGAAGCAGCCAUCAUUUAAAGAAAGCGUAAUAGCUCACUGGUCGAGUCGGCCUGCGCGGAAGAUGUAACGGGGCUAAACCAUGCACCGAAGCUGCGGCAGCGACGCUUAUGCGUUGUUGGGUAGGGGAGCGUUCUGUAAGCCUGUGAAGGUGUGCUGUGAGGCAUGCUGGAGGUAUCAGAAGUGCGAAUGCUGACAUAAGUAACGAUAAAGCGGGUGAAAAGCCCGCUCGCCGGAAGACCAAGGGUUCCUGUCCAACGUUAAUCGGGGCAGGGUGAGUCGACCCCUAAGGCGAGGCCGAAAGGCGUAGUCGAUGGGAAACAGGUUAAUAUUCCUGUACUUGGUGUUACUGCGAAGGGGGGACGGAGAAGGCUAUGUUGGCCGGGCGACGGUUGUCCCGGUUUAAGCGUGUAGGCUGGUUUUCCAGGCAAAUCCGGAAAAUCAAGGCUGAGGCGUGAUGACGAGGCACUACGGUGCUGAAGCAACAAAUGCCCUGCUUCCAGGAAAAGCCUCUAAGCAUCAGGUAACAUCAAAUCGUACCCCAAACCGACACAGGUGGUCAGGUAGAGAAUACCAAGGCGCUUGAGAGAACUCGGGUGAAGGAACUAGGCAAAAUGGUGCCGUAACUUCGGGAGAAGGCACGCUGAUAUGUAGGUGAAGUCCCUCGCGGAUGGAGCUGAAAUCAGUCGAAGAUACCAGCUGGCUGCAACUGUUUAUUAAAAACACAGCACUGUGCAAACACGAAAGUGGACGUAUACGGUGUGACGCCUGCCCGGUGCCGGAAGGUUAAUUGAUGGGGUUAGCCGCAAGGCGAAGCUCUUGAUCGAAGCCCCGGUAAACGGCGGCCGUAACUAUAACGGUCCUAAGGUAGCGAAAUUCCUUGUCGGGUAAGUUCCGACCUGCACGAAUGGCGUAAUGAUGGCCAGGCUGUCUCCACCCGAGACUCAGUGAAAUUGAACUCGCUGUGAAGAUGCAGUGUACCCGCGGCAAGACGGAAAGACCCCGUGAACCUUUACUAUAGCUUGACACUGAACAUUGAGCCUUGAUGUGUAGGAUAGGUGGGAGGCUUUGAAGUGUGGACGCCAGUCUGCAUGGAGCCGACCUUGAAAUACCACCCUUUAAUGUUUGAUGUUCUAACGUUGACCCGUGAUCCGGGUUGCGGACAGUGUCUGGUGGGUAGUUUGACUGGGGCGGUCUCCUCCUAAAGAGUAACGGAGGAGCACGAAGGUUGGCUAAUCCUGGUCGGACAUCAGGAGGUUAGUGCAAUGGCAUAAGCCAGCUUGACUGCGAGCGUGACGGCGCGAGCAGGUGCGAAAGCAGGUCAUAGUGAUCCGGUGGUUCUGAAUGGAAGGGCCAUCGCUCAACGGAUAAAAGGUACUCCGGGGAUAACAGGCUGAUACCGCCCAAGAGUUCAUAUCGACGGCGGUGUUUGGCACCUCGAUGUCGGCUCAUCACAUCCUGGGGCUGAAGUAGGUCCCAAGGGUAUGGCUGUUCGCCAUUUAAAGUGGUACGCGAGCUGGGUUUAGAACGUCGUGAGACAGUUCGGUCCCUAUCUGCCGUGGGCGCUGGAGAACUGAGGGGGGCUGCUCCUAGUACGAGAGGACCGGAGUGGACGCAUCACUGGUGUUCGGGUUGUCAUGCCAAUGGCACUGCCCGGUAGCUAAAUGCGGAAGAGAUAAGUGCUGAAAGCAUCUAAGCACGAAACUUGCCCCGAGAUGAGUUCUCCCUGACCCUUUAAGGGUCCUGAAGGAACGUUGAAGACGACGACGUUGAUAGGCCGGGUGUGUAAGCGCAGCGAUGCGUUGAGCUAACCGGUACUAAUGAACCGUGAGGCUUAACCUU
rnacentral:rRNA from 1 species